rnacentral:rRNA from 1 species
GGGACAAUCCGUAGGGAACCUGCCCCUAAGACUGGGAUAACUUUCGGAAACGAAUGCCUAAUACCGGAUACCCUCAUUUUCUCGCAUGAGGAAAUCCGGAAAGACGGAAGAAACUGUUACCUAGGGGUGGCCCCGCCGACCGACACCCAGUUGGGGAGGUAACGGGUUCCCAAGGGGACCAUUCCGAAUGCCAACUUGAAGGGUGAUCCGCCCCCCUGGGACCGAAACCCCGUCCAAACUUAAACCGGAGGUACAUGGGAGGGAUCCUCCCCCAUGGACGAAAGUCUGAACGAACCACCCCCCCGGGAUGGAGAAGGGUUUCCGAACCGAAAACCCCGGUUGCCGGGAAGAACGCCUGGGAAAAGUACCGGCCCCAAGGGGGCCGGACCC